UUUCCGUAGGUGAACCUGCGGAGGGAUCAUUACAGAGUUCAUGCCCUACCGGGUAGAUCUCCCACCCUAUGUUAUUAUUACUUUGUUGCUUUGGCGGGCCGUUAGGCUCCGGCCCGACUACCGGCCCCGGCUGGUAAGCGCCCGCCAGAGGACCCAAAACCCUGAAUAUUAGUGUCGUCUGAGUACUAUAUAAUAGUUAAAACUUUCAACAACGGAUCUCUUGGUUCU
rnacentral:misc_RNA from 1 species